CCUGUGCAUCGCUCCAUCGCUCCGGUCCUUCGGGCCGGGGAGGAAAGUCCGGGCAGCUUAGGGCAACGUGCUUCCUAACGGGAAGGGGAGGGGUCAGGAACGGCCCUUCCACGGAAAGUGCCGCAGAAAGGGAGACCGCCGAAUCCUGAGUGAUCGGGAUGGUAAGGAUGAAAAGGUGAGGUAAGAGCUCACCAGCAUGCCGUGUGAGCGGCGUGGCUUGGUAAACCCCACGUGCUGAAAGACCAUGUAUACCGGAGGCUUCGAAAUGCAGAAGCAGGGAAAGCCCGUCCCCCUGAAGCAAGAGGGUGCCGGAGGGUAGGUCGCUCGAUCGGCAUGGUAACGUGUCGGCCAGAUAGAUGAUGGAGGUCCGCCGUAAGGUGGAUACAGGACCCGGCUUAUAGAUGCACAGGCUUU
rnacentral:RNase_P_RNA from 1 species